ACUUGCAGCCUAACAGAACUUGAAGCCUAACAGAACUUGUGUGUCGGGUAUGCAAAUACCCACUAUGCAUGCGCUGCGGCCUUCAAAAUGGCUGUCAUAAGCCAGGAAAUGGCCGUAAAGGUCCCCAAACGGGCCUUAACAGCUAAAAGAUCAGGGGGAGGCUGGUGGGGGAACCUUCUGAGAUCCGGGGACCUGUCACUUCUUGCUUGAAAGUUGACCCCCGCUGCUUAUCUCUCAAUCUGAAGAUGCUGUCUCUUCCCUUAGAAUGCAAAAUGGAAACCCCUGACUGGGAUCUGUGAGGCCUUUAUCUAUCGAUCAGAAAAAAGACUAAAAGCCUCACUCCAUUUGUACGCUUCACUUCCGCUCCUGCCAGAGAAACUAAGCACUCGCUUUAUCCGCCCCAAUAUUCUAUACAGUCAAGACUGGCUGAGAGGUUGUUUGUUUGGGGUCCACUGCCUUUAUCAGUGAAAGCUAGCAGGUUCCCUUCAAUCUGAAACUCGUCACAAGAUGAUACAUCCAAAUGGCUCUGCAAAAGGAACAUCAAAAGGAGACAAAUAUCAUGUCCAGAAGCAACUGACAGGCAGAGUCAUCACAUACAAGCUUUCCCUGCGAGAAAAGAAGAAAAGAAAGAACCUACCAAAGUGGUGAAUGCUUGAUUUGUGAAGAGAUAUGUAUCACCAGGCUCUGACUUAAUAACAUCAGAAUUCACUUGCUGCACUACCAGCCUCCAAAAAAACCCACUUUCAAUGCAUAUUUUUCCCUCCAAAGGAGAGAAUGAUGGGAGAGACUGGAUACCUCCCUACAGUUCCUGGUCUUUAUUAGUCAAUCAGCUGCACGCACUGCAGGCAUUCAAUACAUGUUCGUUCUGUACUGGUAA